CGGCCGGGGCUGGCGGUUAGGGGGAGGGCCGCCGGCGGCAGUGCCGGUCUCCUCCUACAGGGACGCGCAGCCCGGGACCGCCACGCGCAGCGCGGGAGGGGGAGGGCGGGACCGGGGAACAGGAGGGGAGGGGGACCCGGGUGCUUCCAGCGGUCCGGGCCCGCGGACGGAGUGCGGGCCGAUCCCGCUCACUGUCCCCUUCCGCAGUCCGCGUGCAGCUCCAGGGAGCUGUCCGCCCCGGUGGUUCUGAACCAGGCGCCGCCGAAACGCUCCAGAUGCAGCACUGCCCUCCGGAGCUGUUGAAGAGGAGCAGGUGUUUGCAGAGACUCACAAAAAGGCCCGGCCCCAGUUGAAAGACCAGCCUUGCACUACUUUAUAAGAUGCUGCCAAUGCAGAAUUGUUCAUGAAGCACAUAGAGCUUUUCUACCUCAGCACAAACAGCAUUCACUCUUCAGGUCACUCAUCCAGGCCUGCAAGAGACGGUGAAGCAGGUUUAUUCUCCAGGCCACUUAAGUCAUCUAAAGUAUCCCCUUUUUGGGC
ensembl:lncRNA novel transcript